AACGAACGCUGGCGGCAUGCCUAACACAUGCAAGUCGAACGAGACCUUCGGGUCUAUUGUCGCACGGGUUCGUAACGCGUGGGAACCUGCCCUUAGGUUCGGAAUAACUCCCCGAAAGGGGUGCUAAUACCGGAUAAUGUCUUCGGACCAAAGAUUUAUCGCCUUUGGAUGGGCCCGCGUUGGAUUAGCUAGUUGGUAGGGUAAAAGCCUACCAAGGCGACGAUCCAUAGCUGGUCUGAGAGGAUGAUCAGCCACACUGGGACUGAGACACGGCCCAGACUCCUACGGGAGGCAGCAGUGGGGAAUAUUGGACAAUGGGCGAAAGCCUGAUCCAGCAAUGACGCGUGAGUGAUGAAGGCCUUAGGGUUGUAAAGCUCUUUUAACCGGGAUGAUAAUGACAGUACCGGGAGAAUAAGCCCCGGCUAACUCCGUG
rnacentral:rRNA from 1 species